UACGUAGGGUGCAAGCGUUAAUCGGAAUUACUGGGCGUAAAGCGUACGCAGGCGGCUAUGUAAGACAGGUGUGAAAUCCCCGGGCUUAACCUGGGAACUGCACUUGUGACUGCACGGCUGGAGUACGGCAGAGGGGGAUGGAAUUCCGCGUGUAGCAGUGAAAUGCGUAGAUAUGCGGAGGAACACCGAUGGCGAAGGCAGUCCCCUGGGCCUGUACUGACGCUGAGGAGCGAAAGCGUGGGGAGCGAACAGG
rnacentral:rRNA from 1 species